rnacentral:rRNA from 1 species
GGGGGACGGAGAAGGCUAUGUUGGCCGGGCGACGGUUGUCCCGGUUUAAGCGUGUAGGUGUGUGUUCCAGGUAAAUCCGGUUCACUUUAACACUGAGGCGUGAUGACGAGGCACUACGGUGCUGAAGCAACAAAUGCCCUGCUUCCAGGAAAAGCCUCUAAGCAUCAGGUAACAUCAAAUCGUACCCCAAACCGACACAGGUGGUCAGGUAGAGAAUACCAAGGCGCUUGAGAGAACUCGGGUGAAGGAACUAGGCAAAAUGGUGCCGUAACUUCGGGAGAAGGCACGCUGACACGUAGGUGAAGUGAUUUACUCAUGGAGCUGAAGUCAGUCGAAGAUACCAGCUGGCUGCAACUGUUUAUUAAAAACACAGCACUGUGCAAACACGAAAGUGGACGUAUACGGUGUGACGCCUGCCCGGUGCCGGAAGGUUAAUUGAUGGGGUCAGCGCAAGCGAAGCUCCUGAUCGAAGCCCCGGUAAACGGCGGCCGUAACUAUAACGGUCCUAAGGUAGCGAAAUUCCUUGUCGGGUAAGUUCCGACCUGCACGAAUGGCGUAAUGAUGGCCAGGCUGUCUCCACCCGAGACUCAGUGAAAUUGAACUCGCUGUGAAGAUGCAGUGUACCCGCGGCAAGACGGAAAGACCCCGUGAACCUUUACUAUAGCUUGACACUGAACAUUGAGCCUUGAUGUGUAGGAUAGGUGGGAGGCUUUGAAGUGUGGACGCCAGUCUGCAUGGAGCCGACCUUGAAAUACCACCCUUUAAUGUUUGAUGUUCUAACGUGGACCCGUUACCCGGGUUGCGGACAGUGUCUGGUGGGUAGUUUGACUGGGGCGGUCUCCUCCUAAAGAGUAACGGAGGAGCACGAAGGUUGGCUAAUCCUGGUCGGACAUCAGGAGGUUAGUGCAAUGGCAUAAGCCAGCUUGACUGCGAGCGUGACGGCGCGAGCAGGUGCGAAAGCAGGUCAUAGUGAUCCGGUGGUUCUGAAUGGAAGGGCCAUCGCUCAACGGAUAAAAGGUACUCCGGGGAUAACAGGCUGAUACCGCCCAAGAGUUCAUAUCGACGGCGGUGUUUGGCACCUCGAUGUCGGCUCAUCACAUCCUGGGGCUGAAGUAGGUCCCAAGGGUAUGGCUGUUCGCCAUUUAAAGUGGUACGCGAGCUGGGUUUAGAACGUCGUGAGACAGUUCGGUCCCUAUCUGCCGUGGGCGCUGGAGAACUGAGGGGGGCUGCUCCUAGUACGAGAGGACCGGAGUGGACGCAUCACUGGUGUUCGGGUUGUCAUGCCAAUGGCACUGCCCGGUAGCUAAAUGCGGAAGAGAUAAGUGCUGAAAGCAUCUAAGCACGAAACUUGCCCCGAG